CGAAAGCCUGACGGAGCAAUACCGCGUGCGGGAGGAAGGCCCUUGGGUUGUAAACCUCUUUUCUCAGGGAGGAAAUCAAUGACGUUACCUGAGGAAUAAGCAUCGGCUAACUCCGUGCCAGCAGCCGCGGUAAGACGGAGGAUGCAAGUGUUAUCCGGAAUCACUGGGCGUAAAGCGUCUGUAGGUGGUUUAAUAAGUCAACUGUUAAAUCUUGAGGCUCAACUUCAAAAUCGCAGUCGAAACUAUUAGACUAGAGUAUAGUAGAGGUAAAGGGAAUUUCCAGUGGAGCGGUGAAAUGCGUAGAUAUUGGAAAGAACACCGAUGGCGAAAGCACUUUACUGGGCUAUUACUAACACUCAGAGACGAAAGCUAGGGUAGCA
rnacentral:rRNA from 1 species